rnacentral:lncRNA from 1 species
UUUGAAGUAAGGGACCCAAAACCAAAGGAAAAAAAGAGAAUGUUCUACCAUUCUCAAUAAUUAGAAAUCAACACUAUCUUAAAAUUAAUAAUAUCAAUAAUUAUCAACAUACAUCAAUUAUCGAUAAAGAAAGGGUUGAGGGGAAGAAACCCCAUUACAUAAUUGAGUCUAUAAUAAUAUACUACUUGGAAUUGAAAUUUGAUCCAAAGAAUUCAACAGAAGCAACAACACAAGUCAUCCAAUAAACCCUGUGUACAGUCAUAGCAGCAAGAACAACUGCAUCAUCUCCACACACAAUAAAAAACAAAGUUAGACAAUAUAUUCAUGUUCUUUUUUUUUGUUUCUUACAAUCUACUAUAUAAGAAAAGAAAGUACCUAUGAAAUUCCUAAUUUACCCCUUUUUCAUUUUUUGACACAUAAUCAAUUCAGGGUUAUUUUGUGUCUUUAUUAAAAAACGUUAGUAGAAAAAUGCUAAAAAAUUUCUUAGUAGAAAUCGAACCCUUAACCUUUUACUUACAAUUCUUAUUAGAUUUACCACUAAGCCAUAUGAAAUAAUUUGUUAUAUUUUUGGAACCAACAUAUAAUCAACAUGAGUUAAGUUAAAAGAAGAAAUGGGAAGUGUUUAUUUAUUUUUUCUUUUUCAUAAUAAG